AGUUAAGUUAAUAAGGGCGCACAGUGAAUGCCUUGGCACUAGAAGGCGAUGAAGGACGCGACUACCUGCGAUAAGCGGUGGGGAGCUGGAUGUGAGCUAUGAUCCAUCGAUGUCCGAAUGGGGAAACCCGGCUGGAGUUACUUCCAGUCACCUUCCGGCACUUCCGCCGGUUGGAGAGAUACCUAGGGAAUUGAAACAUCUUAGUACCUAGAGGAAAAGAAAGAGUGAUCGAUUCCGUAAGUAGCGGCGAGCGAAAGCGGAACAGCCCAAACCACCUUCGGGUGGGGUUCGGGCCGCGUUAUGGGAUUGGAGAUGUCCAGCCGAAUGGCCUGGGAAGGCCAGCCAUAGAGGGUGAGAGCCCUGUAGGCGUAAGACUGAUCCACCCUAGCGGUACCCAAAGUACGUCGGAACACGUGAAAUUCUGACGGAAUAUGUGCCGACCAUGGCAUAAGGCUAAAUACUAACUAGUGACCGAUAGUGAACCAGUACCGUGAGGGAAAGGUGAAAAGAACCCCGGGAGGGGAGUGAAAAGAAUCUGAAACUGUGUGCUUACAAUAAGUCAGAGGGCGUUAAAGCCUGAUGACGUGCCUAUUGAAGAAUGAGCCGGCGAGUUACGUUGACGUGCAAGGUUAAGCCGAAGAGGCGGAGCCGUAGGGAAACCGAGCCUGAAUAGGGCUAUAGUACGUCAGCGCAGACCCGAAGCCCGACGAUCUAUCCAUGGCCAGGAUGAAGGUGGAGUAAAAUCCACUGGAGGUCCGAACCGACGUUCGUUGCAAUGCCCGCGGAUGAGCUGUGGAUAGUGGAGAAAUUCCAAUCGAGUCGGGGGAUAGCUGGUUCUCCUCGAAAUAGCUUUAGGGCUAGCGUUUGGUUUACCACUUGGGGGUAGAGCACUGAAUGCCUGAUGGCCGCACAUCGCGGUACUGAAUGCAAUCAAACUCCGAAUUCCAGGUGGGUUUAGCCAGGCAGUCAGAGUGUGGGGGAUAAGCUCCAUGCUCAAAAGGGAAACAGCCCAGACCGUCGAUUAAGGUCCCUAAAUUCAUGCUAAGUGUUAAAGGAAGUGGAGACGCUUAAACAACUAGGAUGUUGACUCAGAAGCAGCCAUCAUUCAAAGAGUGCGUAACAGCUCACUAGUCGAGUAUCUCUGCACCGAAGAUUUACCGGGGCUCAAGCAUGAUACCGAAUUCACGGAUUCUAGAUUUUCUAGAGUGGUAGAGGAGCGUCCUAUACGGGGCGAAGCCGCAUCGGAAGGAGCGGUGGACUGUAUAGGAGUGAGUAUGCCGGCGUAAGUAACGAUUGAGGGUGAGAAUCCCUCACACCAUUAGACUAAGGUUUCCUGGGCAAGGGUCGUCCUCCCAGGGUUAGUCGGGACCUAAGACGAGGCCGAAAGGCGUAGCCGAUGGACAGCAGGUUGAUAUUCCUGCACCCGUAUGCAUGCGAUGUAGUGACAGAUUAGAUUAGCGGUACCGGUUAUUGGAUUCCGGGCUAAGCUUUGUGGCUGGUGCGUAGGCAAAUCCGCGCAUCAAUGUGAAGAGUGAAUGCGAGCGAAUGGGGCAACCCUAGUAGCGAAGUCCGUGAGAUCUGGUCUCGAGAAAAGCUGCUAGCUUAAGUGCAUAUGGCCCGUACCGAGAACGGACACACGUGGUCAAGGAGAGUAUCCUGAGGUGAGCGAGUGAACUGUUGUUAAGGAACUCUGCAAAAUAACUUCGUAACUUCGGAAGAAGAAGUGCUCCCGCGAGGGAGUCGCAGUGAAGAGGCCCAAGUAACUGUUUAUCAAAAACAUAGCUUUAUGCUAAGCCGCAAGGCGAUGUAUAUGAGGUGAUGCCUGCCCAGUGCUGGAAGGUUAAAAGGAGGAGUUAGCCGCAAGGCGAAGCCCUGAAUUGAAGCCCCAGUGAACGGCGGCCGUAACUAUAACGGUCCUAAGGUAGCGAAAUUCCUUGUCAGGCAAGUUCUGACGCGCAUGAAUGGUAUAAUAAUUUGGGCGCUGUCUCGACAGCAGACUCGGUGAAAUCUUAUUGCCUGUGAAGAUGCAGGCUACCCGCGACUAGACGGAAAGACCCCAUGGAGCUUUACUAUAACUUACUAUUGAGCAAUUGAGGCUCAUGCGCAGGAUAGGUUGGACGCGUUGAUGUCUGGACUUUGGUCUAGGCGGAGCGGUCGGUGAGAUACAACUCUUGUGCUUUGGUUGUUCUAACGUAUGGUCUUACGAGCCAGCGGACAGUGGUAGGCGGGUAGUUUGACUGGGGCGGUCGCCUCCCAAAGAGUAACGGAGGCGCUCCAAGGUAUCCUCAGCACGGUUGGAAAUCGUGCCUCGAGUGCAAUGGCAUAAGGAUGCUUGACUGCGAGACCUACAAGUCGAGCAGGGACGAAAGUCGGACAUAAUGAUCUUGCGGUUCCGAAUGGAAGGGCCGUAACUUAACGGAUAAAAGCUACCCUGGGGAUAACAGGCUGAUCUGAUCCAAGAGUUCACAUCGACGAUCAGGUUUGGCACCUCGAUGUCGGCUCAUCACAUCCUGGAGGGGAAGUACCUUCCAAGGGUUUGGCUGUUCGCCAAUUAAAGUGGUACGCGAGCUGGGUUCAAAACGUCGUGAGACAGUUUGGUCCCUAUCUGUCGUGGGCGCAGGAAUUUUGAGUGGACUAGUCCCUAGUACGAGAGGACCGGGAUUAACAUAGCACUGGUCUACCAGUUGUCACGCCAGUGGCAUGGCUGGGUAGCUACCUAUGGAAGGGAUAAACGCUGAAAGCAUCUAAGCGUGAAGCCAACCACAAGAUUAGAAUUCCCAUUCGAAAGAAGUAAGAGCCCUCCAAAGUUAGGAGGUUGAUAGGGCGGAAGUGUAAGCGCUGUGAGGCGUUGAGCUGACCGCUACUAAUAGCUCGAGGACUUAAUUUC
rnacentral:rRNA from 1 species